UGAGUGGCGGACGGUGAGGUAACGCGUGGGCAACCUGGCCUGUACAGGGGAUAACACUUAGAAAUAGGUGCUAAUACCGCAUAACGGGGGAAGCCGCAUGGCUUUCCCUGAAAACUCCGGUGGUACAGGAUGGGCCCGCGUCUGAUUAGCCAGUUGGCAGGGUAACGGCCUACCAAAGCGACGAUCAGUAGCCGGCCUGAGAGGGCGGACGGCCACACUGGGACUGAGACACGGCCCAGACUCCUACGGGAGGCAGCAG
rnacentral:rRNA from 1 species